rnacentral:rRNA from 1 species
GCCUAAAGCGUCCGUAGCCGGCUCUGUAAGUUUUCGGUUAAAUCCAUAUGCUCAACAUAUGGGCCGCCGGGAAUACUGCAUAGCUAGGGAGUGGGAGAGGUAGACGGUACUCGAUAGGAAGGGGUAAAAUCCUUUGAUCUAUUGAUGACCACCAGUGGCGAAGGCGGUCUACCAGAACACGUUCGACGGUGAGGGAUGAAAGCUGGGGGAGCAAACCGGAUUAGAUACCCGGGUAGUCCCAGCUGUAAACGAUGCAGACUCGGUGAUGCAUUGGCUUGUGGCCAGUGCAGUGCCGCAGGGAAGCCGUUAAGUUUGCCGCCUGGGAAGUACGUACGCAAGUAUGAAACUUAAAGGAAUUGGCGGGGGAGCACCACAAGGGGUGAAGCCUGCGGUUCAAUUGGAGUCAACGCCAGAAAUCUUACCCGGAGAGACAGCAGAAUGAAGGUCAAGCUGAAGACUUUACCAGACAAGCUGAGAGGUGGUGCAUGGCCGUCGCCAGCUCGUGCCGUGAGAUGUCCUGUUAAGUCAGGUAACGAGCGAGACCCUUGCCUCUAGUUGCCACCAUUGCUCUCUGGAGCAGUGGGGCGAAUUAGCGGGACCGCCGCAGUUAAUGCGGAGGAAGGAAAGGGCUACGGCAGGUCAGUAUGCCCCGAA